rnacentral:lncRNA from 1 species
AUUCAUUUUCUGCCCCAAAUUCCUGGAGAGGCAGUGAGUCCACCUCGCUGAAGAUACAGCCUGUGAGGGGGGACCUUAGGUCCCCGAUGACCCCCCGCGUACGGGGUAGGGUUGGAGGAAAGAGCUGGGGGGACCCGUGAGAACCAGGACAGGAAAGGCACGACUUCUUUAGAGGAAGAGAGCUUUGUCUCCUUAGUUAUCAGAUUUGCUGGGGACCCGGAGACAGGAAGGCUUUCAGAAAGGAAGACACAUCUGUACUUUACCAGGAGAUGCACAUAGAUGGGAGGUCAUUAAAAAUUUGCUUGUUUUUCUUCAGCAAACAUAAG